rnacentral:lncRNA from 1 species
AAACAGUAGCCAACCUUCCCAAACGACCAACAACAACCAACAGCAUUCAACCACCAACCAGCAAACUACCUCUUCUCAGGGCCAUAGCAUUUAUUAUAUACCCCCAUAAGUCCCCAGAAUUACAAAUGUCUCACAGUAGCAGAACCUAUCUGGAGCUGGCAAAAUCAUGCCCCUGCUAGGGUGUGAGGCAAAUCAUAGUCAGCUGCUGUGGACCGUCUGAAGCAGCCUCAUAUCCCACACCUGUGAUUAAAACAAAAACACAUUCUUAUGAUAUUUCUGUGUUUUACAAAGCAACCAAAAUUCUCUCUACAGGAAAUGAUGUAUUGAGUCCUUAAGGUACCUGCUAUAGUUAUGAGCCACACUGAUCUUGAGCUUAGGGAGUGUCUUCCCCUCAUGAAAAGCUCAGCAUAGCUAGCUGUUUAAGGACCAUAUGAAGAGCUGGGUGUAGCCCUGUCAUCCGGGCACGCAAAGCUGGGUCAGGAUGGCCAAGAGUUCAAGGUCAGCCUGGUCAAGUCAGGGCGAUCUUCUCUCAAAUCAAGGUGUUAAAACUCUAUAAGAAAUAUAAAAUGAUAGUCAGAUGUGGUUGAAUAUGCUUUUAAUCUUAGCCCUCAGGAGGCUAAGGCAAGUAGAUCUGAGGGUUCAUGCUAUCCUUGUUUACAUACUAAGUUCCAGACCAGCUAGGACUAUAUAGUGAGAUCCUAUCUCAAAAACACUACACACACACACACACACACACACACACAAAUAAUUAGGAAUAAUUUAUGUUAGUAGAUAUAAUAAUGAUUCAUCCCCAAAUCUUAGAAUGAUAAUGAAUAAUUACAGUUAAUCAUAAAAUAUACAAUAACAGUAACCAUGGAUUUUUCUUUCACAAGGAAUGUGUGGGAUUUUUUUUGUUAUUUUCUUGUUUUGUUUUGUUUUGCUUUAUUUUGUGUUGUUUUGUUUCGUUUUGUUUUGUGCUGCUGGAUCAAGCUCAGGGUCUCCAGCCAGGCGCCAGACAAGGACUUUCCCACUGAGCUUCCUCAGCCUGGACAGCACUGGUCUUCAAAAGAGUGCUUGCUUGAGAACAGAAAUGAAGACACAGAACUGACUGCAAAUAUAGAUAGAAUUCCUUUUGCCUUGAACUUUUGUGGGGAAUAAUAGGCUAUUUCUAUAUACUGGAUUCAUGCUGUUUUUAUUUGCCGUUGUUGAAAUGUUCUUAAUAUUUCAUUUUAAAAAGUAAUGUUUUGGUCAGGCACUGGUGGUACUCACCUUUUAUUUCAGCACUUGAGAAGCAAGUGAAUCACUGAGUUCAGGACAGCCAAAGCUGCACAGAGAAACCCUCUCUUGAAAAACAAACAAACAAACAAACAAACAAACAAACAAGUGCCUAUAACCUCAGCUCCUUGAGCAGCUAAGGAAGGAGUAUAGCAAACUCAAGGACACCCUGGGUUACAUAGUGCAAGGACAUCCUGGGAAAGUUAGCAAGACUUUUUCAAAAUAAUUAAUACAUUUUAAACCGGACUGGUGAUGUGGUAGAGUGCUUGCCCAGCAUGAACAAGUUCCCAGGUUCAGAACAGAACAAAACUCAGUGAUCCAGGAUUCACUGAACUACAGUUUUGAAGCAGAACAUUAUCUAAACGGAGAUUUAAUUAUAUAUUGAAGGUCAACUCAAACAUGUGAAUAAGCUGUACUAAUAAAUCCAGAAUAACUGUCAUAAAUUAAAAGCUGUGUAUUAAAU